rnacentral:rRNA from 1 species
GAUGAACGCUGGCGGCGUGCUUAACACAUGCAAGUCGAACGGAAAGGCCCAAGCUUGCUUGGGUACUCGAGUGGCGAACGGGUGAGUAACACGUGGGUGAUCUGCCCUGCACUUCGGGAUAAGCCUGGGAAACUGGGUCUAAUACCGGAUAGGACCACAUUUUGGAUGGUGUGGUGGAAAGUUUUUCGGUGUGGGAUGAGCUCGCGGCCUAUCAGCUUGUUGGUGGGGUAAUGGCCUACCAAGGCGUCGACGGGUAGCCGGCCUGAGAGGGUGUACGGCCACAUUGGGACUGAGAUACGGCCCAGACUCCUACGGGAGGCAGCAGUGGGGAGUAUUGCACAAUGGGCGCAAGCCUGAUGCAGCGACGCCGCGUGGGGGAUGACGGCCUUCGGGUUGUAAACUCCUUUCGCUAGGGACGAAGCGUUAUGUGACGGUACCUGGAGAAGAAGCACCGGCUAACUACGUG